GGAAGUGUAACUUAAUGGUACAGUGCUUGCCUUGCCUGCAUGAAGCCCUGAGUUCAAUCCCCAGCAGUACUU
rnacentral:tRNA from 1 species